rnacentral:rRNA from 1 species
UACGUAGGGACCAAGCGUUGUUCGGAUUUACUGGGCGUAAAGGGCGCGUAGGCGGCGUGGUAAGUCACUUGUGAAAUCUCCGAGCUUAACUCGGAACUGCCAAGUGAUACUGCUGUGCUAGAGUGCAGAAGGGGCAACCGGAAUUCUUGGUGUAGCGGUGAAAUGCGUAGAUAUCAAGAGGAACACCUGAGGUGAAGACGGGUUGCUGGGCUGACACUGACGCUGAGGCGCGAAAGCCAGGGGAGCAAACGGG